rnacentral:rRNA from 1 species
AUACGAAGGGUGCAAGCGUUACUCGGAAUUAUUGGGCGUAAAGCGCAUGUAGGCGGUGCCUUAAGUCUGUCGUGAAACUGCGGGGCCUAACCCCGUAUGGCGAUGGAAACUGUGGCACUUGAGUGCAGGAGAGGAAAGGGGAACUCCCAGUGUAGCGGUGAAAUGCGUAGAUAUUGGGAAGAACACCGGUGGCGAAGGCGCCUUUCUGGACUGUGUCUGACGCUGAGAUGCGAAAGCCAGGGUAGCGAACGGGAUUAGAUACCCCGGUAGUCCUGGCCGUAAACGAUGGGUACUAGGUGUGGGAGGUAUCGACCCCUUCCGUGCCGGAGUUAACGCAAUAAGUACCCCGCCUGGGGAGUACGGCCGCAAGGCUUAAACUCAAAUGAAUUGACGGGG